GAAAUAUCUUCAGUUUCCAAUUUUGCCCUCGUCACUCACUCCUCCCACUCACUCAUUCCCCUCCCUCUCGCUCGACUCGCUCGUUCCCCUUUUCUCGCCUCCGACGAAAUCCCUAGCUCGUCUCGCCUCCGACACUCACGUCGUCGCCGCUAGCUUGCCUAUCACCCGCGUCGUCGCUGCUCGCCUCCCUCUCCCCCGCGUCGUCCGGGCUGCCUUCACUGGUGCCGUCGCCUCUCACUCUUGCCCGCAUCGCCUGCACCAGCAAGGUCGCCACAAAGUUUGAUUUUUUACUGAAGGGGAGGCGAGAGCCUGUGGGAGGAGCUAUGCCGACGGCUGGGUCUGAAGCGGCUGGUCGUCUCACCGUGAGCACGAGGGGGAGGGGCGGGAGGAGCACGAGCGAGCGGCUGUUUUAGAUGAGGAGGAGCGGAGGCGGCAGUGACAUGGUGCAGGCGACGCUCCAUCUGCUGCUGAGUAUGACGAGUGGAGGAGGAGCAGGAGGACGUCGGCGCCGUCGGUGAGCAUUCCUCUCUGUAGAUCUGAUUGCUUGCCGCAUGCUUGUUGAGUAUUGCAAACUUGCUCCUCUUUGAUGAUGAUGAAACAGAGAUCUGACUGAAUUUCUCGCAUGCCUUGUCCUGAAUGUUGAUUAUGUGAAUGUUCACAGGAACGUGGAGAACAAUCAAUUCACAGGAUCAAUCCCAGAGAAGAUGCUCACCAUCCCAAAAUUGGUGUAGAAGAAAGGACAACCACUUAACUAUUCAAUUUCUGCAGAAGAAAGGACAAUCAUUUAACCAUUCUGAUCCGCGGUUCCUCUCCGACCGACAGUGAGUUGCUGUUUGUACUCCCAUGUUCUUUUGCUUGUACUGCUAGAGUGCUUGUGCUUGUGCUGCUAUAUCUUCUGGUGGUGCUAGAUUAAUAUGAGUGGGAGUAGAGUACAAGCAGUAGUUAGAGUGCUUGCUCAGAGUAGGAUUUCUGUUAGGAGUAGUUAGAGUACUCUACUGGAAGUCUGAAAGUACUCCUUGUAAGAGUAGUUAGAGUUCUUGCUCAAAGUAGGAUUUCAUUUAGGAGUCCAGUUGAGCAAGUUUACAAGUUGUAGAGCAAAAUGCUCUACUGAAACGAAUAAUACGCUAUAAAUAACGUGCACUCCUAAUAAAUAACAGACCAUUUUGUAUGGAGCAAGUUAACAGACCAUUUUGUUUCAAAUAAAUAACAAGCCAUUUUUCAAAUAAAUAACGUGUUUUAUAUAGUUGUCCUAAAAUGUUUGUUCUAUGAUGCCGGUCCUAAAAUCUGAUUGCGAGCAGACCUUGAAGAAAAUGUGCCUUGCGUCCAUAUUUCAGCCGCAUGUAAACUACCCCAAGUGCUGGAAGGUGAUCCAGCUCAGUAUAGUAUGCCGAAGCGCGUGAUCCACUCACCACGCCUUGUAAAUUCAGAAACUUCAGUAAAUUUACAGUAAAUUCAGCACUGUAGGAGUACAUUCAACGUAAGCAUUGCCAUGUAAGCAGCAUAUCUCUGCUCAUCUGUUAGUGAAUUUCUUUGCCUUCGUAUUUGAUGAACACCUACAAUAGCAAAAGAAAAAUAGGAAAAUUAGGGAAACUGUGGUAGAAUAAGAAAGCUAUGAAAAAUCAAUUCAACUAAAUUCAUUUCAACCAUGAUCAUAUCAGCAAGAUAAUCCAAUAAUGAUCUUGAAAAUCUAUGGUGAAAAAUCAUUCUAGCAAAUCUUGAAUAAGCCAAUCAUGGUUGGGUUAAUCCUGCUAGUCAUUCUAGCCAAUCAUUGUAGAACAGCAAAUCAUGCUCUUGGAUAAGCUAAUCAGUCUAGCAAAAUCUUGUUAACAACAAGCAAAGAAACUGCUAACAUAUGAGCAGUAUCAUCGAGUAUAUGCUGUUGGCCCCUGUGUCAAGUGUCAUAAUUCAAGUGUAAUGAACAGAGGCAGAUCUUGACAGAGCUUGACAAUGGAGUACACUUGACUUGGUUACUCUCAUUUAAAGCACUAGGAGUAGGAUGCAUAUGCAUAUGCCAACAUCAGGAGUACUCCUGUACAACAUCGGGAGUAGGAUGCAUAUGCAUAUGCCAACAACUAAAAGAAGAUGCACUGCUAUACAAGUUCAUUUAUACUGCAAAUACACAAAAUUAGGAGUACUAUACCCUGGAGUAAUUAGUGCAAUUUCACUGUUUAAUCAAACAGUACAUGAUUAAGGAGUAUUUCAGCAAGUUUAAUUUCAGUUACAAACAGUACAUGAUCAAUUGGAAACAUGAUCAAGGAGUAUGUGUAUGGAGUACCUCCUGCUGCAGCUUCUUCUUGGAGAUCUGCUUCAUCUUCUUGGAUCAUAUUCACAUCAACAUCUUCUUCUGCAGGUGGUGAGCAGUUCAGAUCUGGAAGCACCAUACUGUGAUGUUGCUGUUGUGAUGUUCAGGUACUGUUGCUAUUGCUGUUGUGCUGGUGCUCUACUUUUCCUCUUGCUACUGCUGCUAUGAUGAGAAAUUCUUAUCGGUGCUCUUGCUAUGAUGAGAAAUUCUCCUGUUUGUGCUACUCCUGCAUGAUGAGUACUCCACUGUUGUGCUGGGCUCCACUUUUCCUCUUGUUGGUGCUCUUGCUAUGAUCAAGGAGUACUUUAUGACCUGCACCUGCUGUUGUACUGAGAAAUUGUACUCCUGUGCUGAUUUGCACCUGCUGUUGUACUGAGAAAUUGUACUCCUGUGUUGAUUUACACCUGCUAUUGUACACUGUUGAUCUGCUCUUCCUACUGUUGUGCACCUGUGAUCUCCUGAACUGCUGUUGUGCUAUGAUGAGAAUUUAUUCUUGCUGUUGUUGUACUCCUUGAUCCAGCUGCUAUGAUGAAUUCUUGCUGUUGAUCAUGUUGCUGAAUUCUUGCAAGGAGCACCAGGGCGAGCAGCAAGGUGGACGCAGCGGGGAGCACCUGCGAGCAGCAAGGUGGGCGCAGCGGGGAUCACCUAGGCGAGUAGCAAGGGAGGGCUCCCUGGGUGCAGUGGCAAGGGAGGGCGCCCUGGCGCGGCAAGGGAGGGCCUGGGCGUGGCUGGGAGGGCCUAGGCGCGGAGAGGAUGGCCUGCGCGCGGCCUGGGGACCGAAGCUGGGCGGCGAGGACGAGCGCCUGGGCGCGGCCUGGGGACCGAAGCUGGACGGCGAGGACGAGCGCCUGGAUGCGGGGCUGAUGCGGGGACGUGAGGAAGAAGACGACUGGUUUGAAAUUCAAAUCAAGGGCAUAAUUGUCUAUUUGCACUUUUGUCGGCUGUGUGUGAAAAUCCCUCAACGUCUUAUAAUUCUUUCCAGAGGGAGUACUUAACUAAGUCUUAGUCGAUUCUAUAUUCGUGAGAUCUUACGUGGAGAUCUGUGCAAUUUUUUACAUAUGUUAUGUUACUUGAGUGAGAUUUGGUGACUUGGUUAAGUCUCAGUCAACUGAUAUCUAGUCACACCCUUCAUGUUAUUAUUGUUUAUGUGUAUCUUGGAUCUUCAAUUAUCUUGGAUCUAGUCACAUAAGUUAAGCGAAUUAUUUGAAAAAUAUCCUCAACUGUCUGCAAAUGAUUAUGUUUAUACUGCGUUUCUCUUAC
rnacentral:lncRNA from 1 species